ensembl:snRNA U6 U6 spliceosomal RNA
AUGCUCACUUUGGCAGCACAAAUACUAAAAUUGGAACAAUACAGAGUACAUUAACAUGGCCCUGCGCAAGGAUGACACACAAAUUCAUGAAGCAUUCCAUAUUUUU